rnacentral:tRNA from 1 species
GCGGUUGUAGCUCAGUGGUAGAGUACUUGCCUAGCAUGUGUGAGGCCUGGGUUCAAUCCUCAGCACCACA